AUUAUAGUACCUUCUAUUGUCUCUUGUUGGUUUUUGGAGAAUUUGUUAGAGGUCAAUCACAUCCUUUAAUGGGGAUCAGAGGCCCUGAGUCGUUUCACUUCACAUCUGUUGCUAGCGGUAUCUGGCCGUUUUAAAGGAG